rnacentral:rRNA from 1 species
UACGUAGGGUGCAAGCGUUGUCCGGAAUUAUUGGGCGUAAAGAGCUUGUAGGCGGUUUGUCGCGUCUGCUGUGAAAUUUCGGGGCUCAACCCCGAACUUGCAGUGGGUACGGGCAGACUAGAGUGUGGUAGGGGAGACUGGAAUUCCCGGUGUAGCGGUGGAAUGCGCAGAUAUCAGGAGGAACACCGGUGGCGAAGGCGGGUCUCUGGGCCGUAACUGACGCUGAGGAGCGAAAGCGUGGGGAGCGAACAGG